CUUCAGUGAUGACACGAUGACGAGUCAGAAUGGCCACGUCUUGCUCUUGGUCCCUGUCAGUGCCAUGUUCUGUGGUGCUGUACAUGGUUCCCUUGGCAAAAGUGUCCUACGCACUGAUUGAUUUAGAGGCAUUUGUCUGAGAAGG
ensembl:snoRNA Snord15b small nucleolar RNA, C/D box 14B